rnacentral:rRNA from 1 species
GAUGAACGCUGGCGGCGUGCCUAAUACAUGCAAGUCGAGCGAACGGACGAGAAGCUUGCUUCUCUGAUGUUAGCGGCGGACGGGUGAGUAACACGUGGAUAACCUACCUAUAAGACUGGGAUAACUUCGGGAAACCGGAGCUAAUACCGGAUAAUAUUUUGAACCGCAUGGUUCAAAAGUGAAAGACGGUCUUGCUGUCACUUAUAGAUGGAUCCGCGCUGCAUUAGCUAGUUGGUAAGGUAACGGCUUACCAAGGCAACGAUGCAUAGCCGACCUGAGAGGGGGAUCGGCCACACUGGAACUGAGACACGGUCCAGACGCCUACGGGAGGCAGCAGUAGGGAAUCUUCCGCAAUGGGCGAAAGCCUGACGGAGCAACGCCGCGUGAGUGAUGAAGGUCUUCGGAUCGGAAAACUCUGUUAUUAGGGAAGAACAUAUGUGUAAGUAACUGUGCACAUCUUGACGGUACCUAAUCAGAAAGCCACGGCUAACUACGUG